AACGAACGCUGGCGGCGCGCUUAACACAUGCAAGUCGAGCGGUCUGGGGGCAACUCCAGGCAGCGGCGGACGGGUGCGUAACACGUGGAUAAUCUGCCCUAGAGACGGGGAUAACCAGCCGAAAGGUUAGCUAAUACCCGGUAAGCUCAACGGACCCGAAGGGGUCAGGGAGAAAAGUCGCAAGACGCUCUAGGAUGAGUCCGCGGCCAUCAGGUAGUUGGCGGGGUAAAGGCCCACCAAGCCUACGACGGGUAGCUGGUCUGAGAGGACGACCAGCCACACUGGAACUGAGACACGGUCCAGACUCCUACGGGAGGCAGCAGUGGGGGAAUCUUGCGCAAUGGGCGAAAGCCUGACGCAGCGACGCCGCGUGUGCGAUGAAGGUCUUCGGAUCGUAAAGACACUGUCGCCCGGGAAAAAGAAAGUGAUGGUACCGGGAGAGGAAGCACCGGCUAACUCUGUGCCAGCAGCCGC
rnacentral:rRNA from 1 species